ensembl:lncRNA
CCCGGUUGCUCCCGCUGCACAGCCGGCCCUGCAGGAAUUGGGUAAGCGCAGCUCUUGCGACAGCGCAUUUUUCCACCCGUGUGCCAUUUAACUCGGAGGGGUUUUGCAGAUAAGCAUCAGUUGGCGCUCAGAGCACGAAACCUCCUAAUUGCCGACGCCUGGGAAGUGCCAAACUUUUAUGGAAGGGGGGGGGGGGGAACGGAGCGUGACCUGUUUGCAGGUGUGCACAGCGCAGCCCCAAAGGGGACGCAAGGAAAAGUGGGGGGGGGGGGGGUUGCAGUGCUCCCUCCCCAUUGGGAUUUGGGGUUCCGUCAGUCCACGCUGUGCCCCACGCGCUGCCUUUCCCCCUUCACGCCCCCCCGCCUCCUCCCUUUGCCCACGGGGCGGCUUUUAGGGUUGACCCCCCCCCCCUUUCCUGAGCACCGAGCGAAGGGACGGAGCCCUCCAUAUGGGAUGGCAGCACAGCUUUGGGACAGGGAGUGCUGGGGGGGGGGGGGGGGGCUGCGCUGGAGCAGCAGCGCUGCAAUGGGGGGGCGUGGAGGCAGAAGGCCGCAUGCACAAUGCAUGGCGUUGCAGGGCGCUCGGUUCCGGGUGUAGGGUGCAGCUUGCAUGGCAACAGUGCAUGGUGCUGGGUGUAGGAUGCCGAGCUGCACAACGCCAGGUUGCAGGAUGCACGGUGCAUGGUGCAGGAUGCACGGCGCUUGGUGCUAAGUGCCUGCUUCUGGGUGGAGGGUGCAGCUUGCACGGCACCGUUGCAGGAUGCACGUUGCGUGGUGCGUGGUGCUGUGUGCCCAGUACCGGGUGCAGGUUGCAUGGUACUCAGUGCUUGCUUGCACGGAGCCCACUUGCAGGAUGCACGCUGCAUGCUGCUCAGUGCAUGGUGCUGAGCGCUGCGUGCCUGGUACCGACUGCAUGGUACCUAGAGCUGGGUUGCAUGGUGCUGGCUGCAGGAUGCACAUUGCAUGGAGUCCAAUGCACGGUGCUAGCUGCAAGAGGCACAUUGCAUGGGGCCCAAUGCAUGGAGCCAGCUGCAGGAUGCACACUGCAUGGAACCCAGUGCAUGGUGCUGGCUGCAGGAUGCAUGGUGCCCAGUGCACGGUGCUCGAUGCAUUUGAUGCCCAGAGCCUGGUGCUUGCUGUAGGGUGCCCGGUGCCGGUUGCACGGUGCCGGUUGCACGGUGCCGGUUGCAGGAUGCCCUUUGCAUGGUGCUGGAUACCCAGAGCCCAUACAACACGUGUUUGGUACCCGGUGUAUUAUCAGAGUGCCCGGUACCGGCUGCAUGGUGCCGGUUGCAUGGCACCCAGAGCCCAAUACCGACUGCAGGGUGCCCGGUUCUGGCUGGAGGGUGCUGAUUGUGUGGGCCCAGUGCUCGGUACCGGCCUUAGGGGACCCGGUUCCAGCCGUAGGAGGCCCGGUUCUGGCUGGACGGUACCCCGUACCACCCUAAGCUGCCCGGUACCGGCUGCAGGGUGCCGGUUGUGUGGUACCCAUUGCCUGGUUCUGGCUGUAGGAUGCCCGGUACCAGCUGCAGGGUACCCGGUUCCCAUCAUAGGGUACCCGGUACCAGCCAUAGGGUGCCUGGUUCCGGCCAUAGGACGCCCAGUACCGACUGCAGGGUACCCGGUUCCGGCCAUCGGGUACCCGGUUCUGGCUAUAGGGUGCCCGGUUCGGGCCAUAGGGUGCCCGGUUCGGGCCAUAGGACGCCCAGUACCGGCUGCAGGGUGCCCGGUACCAGCCAUAGGGUGCCCGGUUCCGGCCAUAGAGUGCCUGGUUCCGGCCAUAGGAUGCACAGUACCGGCUAUAGGGUGCCCAGUUCCGGCCAUAGGAUGCCCAGUACCGGCUGCAGGGUGCCCGGUUCCGGCCAUGGGGUACCCAGUUCCGGCCAUGGGGUGCCCGGUUCCGGCCAUAGGAUGCCCGGUUCGGGCCAUAGGGUGCCCGGUUCGGGCCAUAGGAUGCCCAGUACCGGCUGCAGGGUGCCUGGUUCCGGCCAUAGGGUACCCGGUUCCGGCCAUAGGAUGCCCAGUACCGGCUGCAGGGUGCCCGGUUCCGGCCAUAGGGUGCUCGAUACCAGCCAUAGGGUACCCGGUUCUGGCCGUAGGGUGCCCGGUUCCGGCCGCCCGGUGCCGCUCUCCCGGUCCCUCUGCAGGCCCCGUCCCCGCCGCUCCGCGCGCCGCUUCCUGCUUUCUAAUGUUCCAUUGUGCGGAGCUUCCAUUGUGACGCGCGGGGCUCGGCGCGGCUUUGUCUGUCCAUAUAUGGGCAGCUACGUCACGGAGCGCUCCCGCCGCCCGCAUAAAUGGGCCGCGGAGUCCCCGGCGGAGCAGUCGGGAACCCGGAGCGGAGCGGGAGCGGCGGCGGAGCGAUCAGGAGGGGUUAAAUCCUCCCCCCCCCCAACACCCACCCCUCGCUCCGCUACGGGCACAGCUGCCG